AGAGUUUGAUCAUGGCUCAGAUUGAACGCUGGCGGCAGGCCUAACACAUGCAAGUCGAACGGUAACAGGAAGAAGCUUGCUUCUUUGCUGACGAGUGGCGGACGGGUGAGUAAUGUCUGGGAAACUGCCUGAUGGAGGGGGAUAACUACUGGAAACGGUAGCUAAUACCGCAUAAUGUCGCAAGACCAAAGAGGGGGACCUUCGGGCCUCUUGCCAUCGGAUGUGCCCAGAUGGGAUUAGCUAGUAGGUGGGGUAACGGCUCACCUAGGCGACGAUCCCUAGCUGGUCUGAGAGGAUGACCAGCCACACUGGAACUGAGACACGGUCCAGACUCCUACGGGAGGCAGCAGUGGGGAAUAUUGCACAAUGGGCGCAAGCCUGAUGCAGCCAUGCCGCGUGUAUGAAGAAGGCCUUCGGGUUGUAAAGUACUUUCAGCGGGGAGGAAGGGAGUAAAGUUAAUACCUUUGCUCAUUGACGUUACCCGCAGAAGAAGCACCGGCUAACUCCGUGCCAGCAGCCGCGGUAAUACGGAGGGUGCAAGCGUUAAUCGGAAUUACUGGGCGUAAAGCGCACGCAGGCGGUUUGUUAAGUCAGAUGUGAAAUCCCCGGGCUCAACCUGGGAACUGCAUCUGAUACUGGCAAGCUUGAGUCUCGUAGAGGGGGGUAGAAUUCCAGGUGUAGCGGUGAAAUGCGUAGAGAUCUGGAGGAAUACCGGUGGCGAAGGCGGCCCCCUGGACGAAGACUGACGCUCAGGUGCGAAAGCGUGGGGAGCAAACAGGAUUAGAUACCCUGGUAGUCCACGCCGUAAACGAUGUCGACUUGGAGGUUGUGCCCUUGAGGCGUGGCUUCCGGAGCUAACGCGUUAAGUCGACCGCCUGGGGAGUACGGCCGCAAGGUUAAAACUCAAAUGAAUUGACGGGGGCCCGCACAAGCGGUGGAGCAUGUGGUUUAAUUCGAUGCAACGCGAAGAACCUUACCUGGUCUUGACAUCCACGGAAGUUUCCAGAGAUGGAUUGGUGCCUUCGGGAACUGUGAGACAGGUGCUGCAUGGCUGUCGUCAGCUCGUGUUGUGAAAUGUUGGGUUAAGUCCCGCAACGAGCGCAACCCUUAUCCUUUGUUGCCAGCGGUCCGGCCGGGAACUCAAAGGAGACUGCCAGUGAUAAACUGGAGGAAGGUGGGGAUGACGUCAAGUCAUCAUGGCCCUUACGACCAGGGCUACACACGUGCUACAAUGGCGCAUACAAAGAGAAGCGAACUCGCGAGAGCAAGCGGACCUCAUAAAGUGCGUCGUAGUCCGGAUUGGAGUCUGCAACUCGACUCCAUGAAGUCGGAAUCGCUAGUAAUCGUGGAUCAGAAUGCCACGGUGAAUACGUUCCCGGGCCUUGUACACACCGCCCGUCACACCAUGGGAGUGGGUUGCAAAAGAAGUAGGUAGCUUAACCUUCGGGAGGGCGCUUACCACUUUGUGAUUCAUGACUGGGGUGAAGUCGUAACAAGGUAACCGUAGGGGAACCUGCGGUUGGAUCACCU
rnacentral:rRNA from 2 species